UAACUAUAAAGAGAAGGGGAGAGACAAGCUCUAUGAACCUUCAGCAACUUACCUAACAAAGGCAAAGUGCUAAAGCUUGUAUGAUAGUGA
rfam:Mycoplasma canis TFG4 Contig05, whole genome shotgun sequence.